rnacentral:rRNA from 1 species
AUUGAACGCUGGCGGCAUGCCUUACACAUGCAAGUCGAACGGCAGCAUGAUCUAGCUUGCUAGAUUGAUGGCGAGUGGCGAACGGGUGAGUAAUACAUCGGAACGUGCCCUGUAGUGGGGGAUAACUAGUCGAAAGAUUAGCUAAUACCGCAUACGACCUGAGGGUGAAAGUGGGGGACCGCAAGGCCUCAUGCUAUAGGAGCGGCCGAUGUCUGAUUAGCUAGUUGGUGAGGUAAAGGCUCACCAAGGCGACGAUCAGUAGCUGGUCUGAGAGGACGAUCAGCCACACUGGGACUGAGACACGGCCCAGACUCCUACGGGAGGCAGCAGUGGGGAAUUUUGGACAAUGGGGGCAACCCUGAUCCAGCAAUGCCGCGUGUGUGAAGAAGGCCUUCGGGUUGUAAAGCACUUUUGUCCGGAAAGAAAUCGCACUUACUAAUAUUAGGUGUGGAUGACGGUACCGGAAGAAUAAGGACCGGCUAACUACGUGCCAGCAGCCGCGGUAAUACGUAGGGUCCAAGCGUUAAUCGGAAUUACUGGGCGUAAAGCGUGCGCAGGCGGUUGUGCAAGACCGAUGUGAAAUCCCCGGGCUUAACCUGGGAAUUGCAUUGGUGACUGCACGGCUAGAGUGUGUCAGAGGGGGGUAGAAUUCCACGUGUAGCAGUGAGAUGCGUAGAGAUGUGGAGGAAUACCGAUGGCGAAGGCAGCCCCCUGGGAUAACACUGACGCUCAUGCACGAAAGCGUGGGGAGCAAACAGGAUUAGAUACCCUGGUAGUCCACGCCCUAAACGAUGUCAACUAGUUGUUGGGGAUUCAUUUCCUUAGUAACGUAGCUAACGCGUGAAGUUGACCGCCUGGGGAGUACGGUCGCAAGAUUAAAACUCAAAGGAAUUGACGGGGACCCGCACAAGCGGUGGAUGAUGUGGAUUAAUUCGAUGCAACGCGAAAAACCUUACCUACCCUUGACAUGCCACUAACGAAGCAGAGAUGCAUUAGGUGCUCGAAAGAGAAAGUGGACACAGGUGCUGCAUGGCUGUCGUCAGCUCGUGUCGUGAGAUGUUGGGUUAAGUCCCGCAACGAGCGCAACCCUUGUCUCUAGUUGCUACGAAAGGGCACUCUAGAGAGACUGCCGGUGACAAACCGGAGGAAGGUGGGGAUGACGUCAAGUCCUCAUGGCCCUUAUGGGUAGGGCUUCACACGUCAUACAAUGGUGCAUACAGAGGGUUGCCAAGCCGCGAGGUGGAGCUAAUCCCAGAAAAUGCAUCGUAGUCCGGAUCGUAGUCUGCAACUCGACUACGUGAAGCUGGAAUCGCUAGUAAUCGCGGAUCAGCAUGCCGCGGUGAAUAAGUUCCCGGGUCU